GCGGAAUAGUGGGUUUUGCUGCAACCGGUUUAUUUUCCUUCUGUUUUCACCCAUUCUGGCACAAUCUGGCGCCAUCGUCCUUCUUGUGAGGCCAAGCCUGAAAAUGCGAAGCAGAGAGGCAGGACCAAAAUUGAGGCGAAUCCAGGAACCUGCCAAUGGGUCUCCGGGUGCGGUCUCUGAAACUGGAGGAUAUCGGGAGGAAAGGCUCUCCGAUGCGGAGAUAAUGGGGAAGCUCUUGGCAUGGUUGGCUGUAGGUAUGUGAUACCGGAGGAGCAGGAGUCAAAUAGGAUACGCCGACUUUUAAUUCAAGGAACCCUUUUCUGAAACACUUUGCCACAAUGAAGGAAAUAAGCAGGAUGAAGUUAAAGGAAGUAGAUCGUACAGCCAUGCAGGCAUGGAGCCCUGCCCAGAAUCACCCCAUUUACCUAGCAACAGGAACAUCUGCUCAGCAAUUGGAUGCAACAUUUAGUACGAAUGCUUCCCUUGAGAUAUUUGAAUUAGACCUCUCUGAUCCAUCCUUGGAUAUGAAAUCUUGUGCCACAUUCUCCUCU
rnacentral:lncRNA from 1 species